rnacentral:rRNA from 1 species
UACGUAGGGUGCGAGCGUUACUCGGAAUUACUGGGCGUAAAGCGUGCGUAGGUGGUUUGUUAAGUCUGAUGUGAAAGCCCUGGGCUCAACCUGGGAAUUGCAUUGGAUACUGGCAGGCUAGAGUGCGGUAGAGGAUGGCGGAAUUCCCGGUGUAGCAGUGAAAUGCGUAGAUAUUGGGAAGAACACCGGUGGCGAAGGCGGCUCUCUGGACCGUAACUGACGCUGAGGCGCGAAAGCGUGGGGAGCAAACAGG